rnacentral:sRNA from 1 species
UCCGUAUUCCAAUUGCCAUCGACUUGGGA